GUUUUAGAAUAAGAAAAAAAAAAUAUAGUUAAAAUGUUGUUUUGAGAAAAUUACGUAAUUUUGAAGAAUUGUCAAUAUGCUGGAUUCGAAUUCUUACAUGAUAGAUCUAGACUUAAAAAUGGAAGGGAAUGUAUCAGGAUCCAGUUGAAAAUGGAAUGGAAUGUAUCCGGAUCCAGUUGAAAAUGGAAUGGAAUGUAUCAGGAUCCAGUUGAAAAUGGAAGGGAAUGGAUCCGCUUAAAAUUAAAAUUGAAUGUAUCCGAUUAUGGUUGAAAAUUUAAUGGACAGGAUCCGGAUCCACUUGAAUAUGUAAAACGGGUGCUGUUUAGUCUGAAGCAAACUUAUUUGAACGGAGAAUUGUAUUCUGGAGAUCUAGCUAAGUAUAGUUCUUCUGCUUGUUGGGUCCAUCAAGAUAUACCUCCAGGGACAACUGUACAGUUUGAUGCCAGGCACGGCAAGGGCAUUAGCUUCCAGGCUAUUUAUGUAUUUAUUGGAGCUCGGCCCAACCAUGUCCGUCCAACCUAUAUUCCUGGUGGAUCUGGAACAGUCCUGGACAAAAAAUAUCGUCGACUCUUCCUUUCACGUGGAGAAGCAAAGAUGGCGCCGGCGGAAUUCAAGAAAACAUUCUACUUUUUUGAUCUAGGUUUACCCGAGUGUUUGGGCAAUGAUUUAAAAAGAAUUAAAGCGCUUAAGGGGAUAGUCUUCUAGAAUGUUUAAAUAACUGCUUACAAUUAAAGGGAUUGCAACUAAGUAAUGUCGUUUUUAUUUAUAGCAAAUCCUUGUAAUAUGUUGUUGCUUAUCACUCUCGUCAAUUGUUAUUUAUUAAUUGUAUAAUUUAUAUUGUGUAACAGUUUGUCUUCCAUGAUUUUGUUUUGCAAAAGCACUUGUACAGUAAACGCAAUUUCAAGUUACAUUCCAUUAAUAGGUUCCAAUUCAUUUUGAUGUGGAACUUUAAAAAAUAUGUUUAUUUUUUUUCGCUUAUUUUAUGCUAAAACUCGAUAAAUCUGAAGAGAUGAAAAUUUUUAAUAAAUUCUCUUUUUUUAAAUUUUAGAUUUGGGGGAAUUGAGCAAUUUGUGGGGUUUUUUUCAGGUUUUUAUUGUUAUUUUGUUCCUCGGAUCGAUCCGUGAUUUCACGUAUUUUGCGUUUGCGGAUGAAGUACGUAGGCACUCCGUCGAUUGUCAUUAAUGAUCAGACAAACGUUUAAAGGGCACCGUUGUGAAUCGGACACAGGGGCGUACGAGGGGGGCCGAGCCCCCCCCCCCCUUUAAUAUUACAU